AAUAUUGGGCAAUGGGGGAAACCCUGACCCAGCAACGCCGCGUGAAGGAAGAAGGNUUNNGGGUUNUNAACUUCUUUGACGAGNNNNNAAUAAUGACGGUACCUCGAAAACAAGCCACGGCUAACUACGUGCCAGCAGCCGCGGUAAUACGUAGGUGGCAAGCGUUGUCCGGAUUUACUGGGUGUAAAGGGCGCGUAGGCGGGAGAACAAGUCAGAUGUGAAAUCUGGGGGCUUAACCCUCAGACUGCAUUUGAAACUGUACUUCUUGAGUAUCGGAGAGGCAGGCGGAAUUCCUAGUGUAGCGGUGAAAUGCGUAGAUAUUAGGAGGAACACCAGUGGCGAAGGCGGCCUGCUGGACGACAACUGACGCUGAGGCGCGAAAGCGUGGGGAGCAAACAGG
rnacentral:rRNA from 1 species